AUUCAUGGACGUUGAUAAGAUCCUUCCAUUUAGUAGCACCUUAGGAUGGCAUAGCCUUAACGUUAAUGGCGAGGUUU
rnacentral:sRNA from 1 species